GACGAACGCUGGCGGCGUGCUUAACACGUGCAAGUCGAACGGUAAGGCCCUUCGGGGUACACGAGUGGCGAACGGGUGAGUAACACGUGGGUGAUCUGCCCUGCACUUCGGGAUAAGCCUGGGAAACUGGGUCUAAUACCGGAUAGGACUCCUGGCUUCAUGGUUGGGGGUGGAAAGCUUUUGCGGUGUGGGAUGGGCCCGCGGCCUAUCAGCUUGUUGGUGGGGUAAUGGCCUACCAAGGCGACGACGGGUAGCCGGCCUGAGAGGGUGACCGGUCACACUGGGACUGAGAUCCGGCCCAGACUCCUACGGGAGGCAGCAGUGGGGAAUAUUGCACAAUGGGCGCAAGCCUGAUGCAGCGACGCCGCGUGAGUGAUGACGGCCUUCGGGUUGUAAACCUCUUUCAGCUAUGACGAAGCGCAAGUGACGGUAGUAGCAGAAGAAGGACCGGCCAACUACGUGCCAGCCGCCGCAGUAA
rnacentral:rRNA from 1 species